CAUCAACAAUCCACCAUACCGCCGAUGAAGGUGGUCUUAAUAGGCCAUGCUAAUACGGUUCUACUAGCCUUCUAGUUCUCGGUUUGAUUUCUGGACCGCGUCACUCAACCGAGAACAUCUUACAAGGAUCGAACGGUAAGAGAGUUGAGAUUAUACAGUAAUAACCAAACCGGUCCGGUUAUGUGUACGAACCACGAUUCUUGUGAGUUUCCCUAUUUAAAAUAAACCGUACAAGUUCAUGUCUGAAUGUUUGGCACGGACACCGACGGGGGAAACAGCUGUUUUGUCGGCGUCGGUUGGGAGAUUUUGUCGAAGAUCACUGCUUCUUAUAGUAUCAAACUCGUCAACAGCUUGAAGUAUGCUUUUUGAAACUUUACUUUUGGUUUGGGAAUGAUUUACCGCAGACAGAGUAACUCUGGAACUAUACAUGUCCUGCAGAGAAAACAAGGGCAUACCUCCUACUACCCGUGUCUGUUGUGAUUCUGGAAAUAUUUAGAGGAGCAAGUGGAAGUGGCCUAGUUCUUAAUAGUUUAUACGUGUGCUGGGACAGAGAUAGAGGAGACAAAAUUCCUAAGGAAAUUAUCUGAUUCUUGCUUGGUUUUUGAUGCUUUUGGAGCCAUCUGUGAGGGAAGAGUUGAUACGCAGCUUUUGCAGCAGGGAACUAAUCUCAUAUGAUCAGAUUUAUGUAGGAACUGAAAGCAGGUAAAAUCGAUUCUGGUCAACAUGAAAGAGAAGUCAGAUAUAGAGAGAUUACUUCUGGUCAGGCAUGCUUGUAAAAAAUUUCAUUAUAUAUAUAUCAAAAUGAAAUGUAUUUUUAUUAACAGCGCUGUGUUACCUCUCAAGGAAAUCGCUAAUGUUUUAUUUUGAUGAUUGAUCACAUUAUCGUAUUUAAUGUUCUCAGGCCUCUCAACCAACUUUAAUGUCGUCGAAUGGUUAGGAGCUGAAAAGGUGAAUGGGAAAUGAUGGUCGUAAUGUAUCCAAACUUCACAUGAAGUAUGCAAAGAAGGUUGCAGCUAAUGUAUUAUGCGCUUAGUAAUUUUGUAUAUAUACGCUUAAACUAUAUUCUAAAUUUUUCUGGUGCCUCUACUUCUACAGGUAAAGACCAGAAACAAAGAUUUAUCAAAUUCUGCUUUUAGUUCAUCUCCCUCUCUGAUUUUGGUUGUUGUGUGCAUUCCUUAGAAAGCAAGUGAAAGCCGCUGAACUCUGAUCUUGCAUGGGUUCCGUUUUUUCGGUUCUACCAAUAUUAUGAGACUUUUAAACAUCCACUUUAGUUUCCAUGUUAGUUCUUAAUUGAAUCAGCUUUGCAAGCCGCCUAGGUUUCUACAAGGGAGUGAAUAUAUAUACACUUGUGCUCUUUAACAGUUUGUCCAGUUGAAAUGCUCUAAUUCGUGGUCUUAUAUAAGAUGGAUGGAGAUUUUGAAUUCAUUAUUUUUUAAGGGUCUCCUCUUUACAGGUCGCUCACGAGUUCUAAGGCGUAUGCUUCAAAGCUAUUUCUUAAGAUCCCAAAAGGAGACACCAGUAUGGUUGCUGCAGCCACAGGUGUGGACGGACAUAUUAAAGCUGUUGAGUAUAUCUGCCUUCUUUCUGUUUCCCAUGUGUGCUUUUAAACGUAGGUCUCAGACAGAGAUGAUUUAUAGUUGAUUCUGCUGAGUAUUUCCACAAAAAGAGUAAGCUUGUUUCAGUUUUAACACCUCUACCGUCUACUUGAUACCAGAAACUGACCUUACUUGCCAUGGGUUAUUUAGGGUUGUAUUAUAUGGUUCUAAUAUGAUUUUAAGCUACUUUUUUAUGCUGACUUAGAAGAGGUCUCAACUAGUAUUGAAAAGCGUUAUGCUGACCGUACAAACAUGUGAGAGGCCCAGGUACUAUUGACAUGGCGGACUUAUAUUGUUCCUUCUUAAGCUGUGUUGAUGACUGCUGCCUUAUAUAAAAUAUAUGAUAAAUGACGCUUAUUCUACUUUAUACUCUACCAAGAUUUGAAACUGUUAUGGCUUAAAGCUAUUAUUAGUAACAGUUUCAUAAGGUUUAACCCUUUACUAACUUAAGAGCUGACGACCGUUUUGUCGAAAAUCUUUGCAUAGUUGGCGUCAUCUUUUGGAGUACGGUUCUGUGCUAAUAUAUUCAGGUGCAAGAAAAUAUUUUUUUUUAAAAUUGGGCUCAUCAGCUGCUACAAAUUCUUUGCCAGCAUGAGUCCGAUAGGCUUGACGUUUGGGCACAACCUAUAAGUCCAGUGGAAAGUACAUAUUCACGGCUGAAAUUAAGCUCUUGGAAAUGGACCGAGCAUGUUAAAAAACUGUCUUUUUAGUGGAUCCGUGUUUUGCUGUAUCAUUAGCCUCAAGAUUUCCGGCAAAUAUUGUUGUGAAAUCCGAAGUCCGUCAGCUAGUACAGGCCCAUAUAGUAGAUCUUCGUACAAUUCCUGAGGCAUUGCCAUAUUUUGUCACACCUGAAACCGUUGAAGAGAACUCAGCGCUGUUGCAGCAGCUGCCACACUUGGCUGCUUGUUCAAUUACACAGGCUCUUGGGCUUCUCACACCUGCUUACAAGGGGCAUCCGCGUGUUAUGGCUUAUGUCCUGCGCGUUUUAGAGUCUUAUCCCCGUGAACGUGUCACUUUCUUCAUGCCACAGUUAGUGCAGUCUCUGCGCUAUGAUAAAGGGGGUAUCUUCUUAGAGCUGCCCAAAGAAGUUAUACAUAUUUGCUCAUAUCCUCACUUGGCAUUUGCAGGGUGAGUCUGUUCAGGAAGAUGGUGCUUCCGUGAAGGUUUGUCCUCUAUUAAGCCUUUUGUACUUCUUGGUGUCAACGACUUUAGAGUGGAAACAUUACCGUAUUAUUUUUUGGCUAACAUAGGGAUUAUGCAACUGAUGAGAUUUGAAUCUUUCACAACAUGCAAAUCAUUCCAAUAUAUUUCCAAACUGGUUUCAUAUAGUCUA